rnacentral:rRNA from 1 species
UACGUAGGGAGCAAGCGUUGUCCGGAAUCAUUGGGCGUAAAGCGCGCGUAGGUGGCUUCGUAAGUCCGUUGUGAAAGUCAAAGGCUCAACCUUUGAAAGCCGAUGGAUACUGCGGGGCUAGAGUACGGAAGAGGCGAGUGGAAUUCCUGGUGUAGCGGUGGAAUGCGCAGAUAUCAGGAGGAACACCAAUAGCGAAGGCAGCUCGCUGGGACGGUACUGACGCUGAGGCGCGAAAGCUAGGGGAGCAAACGGG